GAGUUUGAUCAUGGCUCAGGACGAACGCUGGCGGCGUGCUUAACACAUGCAAGUGGAGCGACGAACCAGGGCUUGCCCUGGGGCAGAGCCGCGAACGGGUGAGUAACACGUGGGUUACCUGCCUUGAUGACCGGGACAACCCGAGGAAACUCGGGCUAAAUACCGGAUGUGCCCGCAAGGGGAAAGGAAGCUUCGGCCUCCGCAUCAAGAUGGGCCCGCGGCCCAUUAGCUUGUUGGUGAGGUAACGGCUCACCAAGGCUUCGAUGGGUAGCUGGUCUGAGAGGACGAUCAGCCACGCUGGGACUGAGACACGGCCCAGACUCCUACGGGAGGCAGCAGUGGGGAAUCUUGCGCGAAUGCGCGAAAGCGUGACGCAGCAACGCCGCGUGGGGGAAGAAGGCUUUCGGGUUGUAAACCCCUUUCAGUUGGGACGAAGCUUCUCCGGUGAAUAGCCGGAUGGAGUGACGGUAACCUUCACAAGAAGCACCGGCUAACUACGUGCCAGCCGCCGCGGUAAU
rnacentral:rRNA from 1 species